GCAAGUCGAGCGCUCUCUUCGGAGGGAGCGGCGGACGGGUUAGUAACGCGUGGGAACGUACCCUUUUCUACGGAAUAGCCUCGGGAAACUGAGAGUAAUACCGUAUACGCCCUUCGGGGGAAAGAUUUAUCGGAGAAGGAUCGGCCCGCGUUAGAUUAGAUAGUUGGUGGGGUAACGGCCUACCAAGUCGACGAUCUAUAGCUGGUUUGAGAGGAUGAUC
rnacentral:rRNA from 1 species